GCAGUGAGAGCGAGUCCUCAGACAGCGAGACUGAGCCUUUGGUUCAGCGACCACGGGAGGGGCACAGUCACAUGUCUGGUCAGCUGAUCUACUGUGUGAAGGAGGGCUGUCGUAAGGUAUUCCAGACCCAACCCCAGAGGCUAAUGGCAGCCAUGUACAAAUGUAACAUACAAUGCACGGCUGAAGUCUUAGGAAAACUUUGUGGCGUUCUGGGUAAGAGGUUUGGCAGAGUGAUAGAGGAUACAAUGAAAGAAGGAUCUCAGAUAUUUAACAUCAAGGCUGUGCUGCCGGUGGUCGAGAGCUUCGGGUUCGCCGAGGACGUGAGGAAGAAAACUAGUGGCCUGGCAAGUCCUCAGCUAGUGUUCAUCACUGGGAGGUGAUUGAUGUUGACCCGUUUUGGGUCCCCACGACAGAGGAAGAAUACACUCAUUUUGGGGAGAAGGCAGACUCUGAUAACCGGGCGCGGCAGUACAUGAACCAAGUACGCAAACGGAAAGGACUCAAAGUAGAUGAGAAAAUAGUAGAGCAUGCUGAAAAGCAAAGAACACUCACGAAAAUGAAAUAACGUUGUUGUGUUUAGGAAAAUCUAUAAUGUCUGUUAUGUCUAUUUUAAUAAAUUAUUUGAUGAAGCU
rnacentral:misc_RNA from 1 species